rnacentral:lncRNA from 1 species
UUGUUCAUGGUCAACUGAUAUGCUAUUAUUAGGAUGAUAGCUAUAUCAAGUGUAGAUUGUUGUGUGCCAUGUACGUUGGUUGUCCUCUUAACCAAGGAGGGUGGAGACACUAGCAUAGCAUGCAAGUGAGAUGUAGGAGUACAUCUCACUAAAUAUGAUCAAUUGCUGAGCACUCUAUUGUCAAGAAUAGCUUGCGAAGAAUAUGGAUAUAAGUGUCCCUCCGAUCUGAGAUUACCACAGUGACUUGCAAGC